CCUACGGGAGGCUGCAGUGAGGAAUAUUGGUCAAUGGACGCAAGUCUGAACCAGCCAUGCCGCGUGCAGGAAGACGGCUCUAUGAGUUGUAAACUGCUUUUGUACGAGGGUAAACGCAGAUACGCGUAUCUUUCUGAAAGUAUCCUACGAAUAAGGAUCGGCUAACUCCGUGCCAGCAGCCGCGGUAAUACGGAGGAUUCAAGCGUUAUCCGGAUUUAUUGGGUUUAAAGGGUGCGUAGGCGGUCGGAUAAGUUAGAGGUUAAAUUCAGAGGCUCAACCUCGGAAGUGCCGCUGAUACUGUUCGGCUAAAGAGAAGUUGCAGUAGGCGGAAUGUGUGGUGUAGCGGUGAAAUGCUUAGAGAUCAUACAGAACACCGAUUGCGAAGGCAGCUUACCAGGCUACUACUGACGUUGAGGCACGAAAGCGUGGGGAGCGAACAGGAUUAGAUACCCUUGUAGUC
rnacentral:rRNA from 1 species